UAUGGAAAGUUCUUUCCUGCUCCUUAAAGCAUUAGCCAAUCAGCUCUAGUUUAGACUAGGAAGUCUGGUGCCAGCCAGUAGAUGCUGGAUAUAGCAAUAGGAACCCAGCUGUAUAAAGGAUACAUACUUCUGCCUUUCCUUUGCUCAUUGCACUCUUGUGGCAAGACUGCUGGCAAGUAGUGACCUUUCUGCAGAAAGUAAAUUUGCCUUGCUGAGAGAACUUAGGACCUGAGUGCUAAUUCUUCUUGGCAACACCGGAGAAUAGGCGUUUACUUCCAACGGUGUCCCUUCAAAAGAUAUAUUGAAGUCCUAACUCCUGGUACCUGUGAAUGUGACCUCAUUUGGAAACAGGGCCUUUCCAGAAUUAAUCAAAUUAAGAUGAGAUCAUCCUACAGUAGAGUGGGCCCUAAUCCAAUAUGCCUGUUGUCCUUAUCAAACGAGGAGACCCAGAGACAGACACCCAGAGAGGAGAAGGCCUUGUGAAGAUAGAGGCAGAGAUGGCAGCAAUGCAUCUACAAGCUAAGGAUUGCUGGAACGCCCAGGAGCUAGGGGAGAGGCAUGGCACAGACACUCUUCCAGAACCUUCAGAAAGAGCAUAUGCCUGCUGACCUUGGUUUCCAACUUCCAGUUCUCAUCAGAACGCUGACAGAAUGAACGUCUGCUGUUCUAGACCACCCAGUUUGCGUAAUUUGUUAUGGCAGACACAGAAAACCGGUAUCCUCCCAAAUGAACUACUUGCAACUGAAUCCUGGGUUCAGAAUCUGCGUCUUUGCAACAACACGAAUGGAACUGGAGGUCAUUAUGGGGCCAAAAACUGGCUGGGGAGCUGGGCGAUGGCUUGGAGGCAGGAGAGAGAGCAGUACCAGUCAUUCAAUAUCCAGCAAUGAUUUGUUAAUGGUCUCCCCUGUGCCUGGCACUGCAUUGGGCGCCAGAGUUACAACAGGAACGGAGGUGAAGCUUCUGGUCUCCUGAAUUUACAUUCUCAUCACAGGAGAGCCACAUCCAGCCUCAUCACUCGUAGCAGGCUUCCGUCAGACAAUGGUAAGGAUCAUAAAGGUGACAAAAUAUGAUCAGCUUUCGGGUCUUUAUUCACUUGACAAGUGUUUAUUGAGCUUGGACUGUUUCUUGGACACUGCCUUGGACCCUGGUGAAAUGGUGGGGACAAGACAGAACAGGUGCCUAUGCUCAAGGAGAUGUGCUUCUGGUUGGGAGCAAUGUACACGUAGACAUGACCACUGCAGAGAAGCUGCUAGGAGGGAACGAAUGCAGCGGU